UACGUAGGGGGCCAGCGUUGUCCGGAUUUAUUGGGCGUAAAGCGCGUGUAGGCGGCCAGGUAGGUCCGACGUGAAAACUGGAGGCUCAACCUCCAGCUGUCGUUGGAAACCAUCUGGCUAGAGUCCGGAAGAGGAGAGUGGAAUUCCUGGUGUAGCGGUGAAAUGCGCAGAUAUCAGGAAGAACACCAAUGGCGAAGGCAGCUCUCUGGGACGGUACUGACGCUGAGACGCGAAAGCGUGGGGAGCGAACAGG
rnacentral:misc_RNA from 1 species